GGGCACGGUGCAGGGUGCGCAGUGCAGGGCUGGCCAGCUUUGCCAUGCUUGUUGGAGUGGGAGGAAGGAGCCAGCCCAGGCGCCAAAACGUCUGCGAGGCCGCUUAGAUCAUGAUCACAAUGUUUUUCUGCAUAGGGAUCCACGUAAAUAGAAGCCAUUCAUCCAGGCUGAGAGGACUGGCAGCUUUCAGAGUCACCCUGUCCGCUGAUACACAGCCACCGCUUAACAAGGCCAGUUCCUCCAGCCUACUGAUAAUCUUCAUGGCCCUCCUCUGGACUCUCUCCAAAAACUCCAUGUCUUUCUGAUGCUGGGGGCCCUGGACCUGGAUGCAGUACUCCAGCUGGAGCCUCUCAUUCAGGCAGUCGGGCAGAUCCCCAGAGGAGUGUUUCUUUAAGGCUGAAUUGCAGAAUUCAAGAUUUCUCCUGUCCAGGAAUGUUCCUGGCAUUUUGCUGGUG